AUUAGUCAGCACACAUGGUUACUCUCAAAAUCAGAUAAUAGUUUGGAGAUAUCCGACAAUGUCUAAGAUAGCUACUCUGACAGGUCAUACAUAUAGAGUCUUAUAUCUUGCUAUAUCUCCAGAUGGACAGACAAUUGUCACUGGAGCAGGAGAUGAAACACUUCGAUUCUGGAAUGUUUUCCCUUCUCCCAAGUCAAAGAACACCGAGACUGAAAUUGGUGCAUCUUCGUUUGGUAGAACUCAGAUCAGGUGACGAACUGUAAUUAUUUUCCACUCGUAGAAAUUAUUCCAUCAAGAAAUACACAUCACAUUUUUCUGUUUGAUGGAGCGGCAAGAAAAGAUGCAAUUUUACUUGAGUCAAUUAUUCUUUCAUUAUGUCACAAAAUGUACAGUUGGAGAUGUUAUUUAAUUCUCAUUAACAUCUCCUAUUCAUCAUGUAAUAUAUGGGGAAAGUGGAAGAGGUUCCUUUCUAAGGAACAUCUAA
rnacentral:misc_RNA from 1 species